UACAGAGGGGGCAAGCGUUGUUCGGAAUUACUGGGCGUAAAGGGCGAGUAGGUGGCCAUCUAAGUCAGACGUGAAAUCCCCCGGCUUAACCUGGGAACUGCGUCUGAUACUGGACGGCUUGAGUAUGGGAGAGGAACGUAGAAUUCCAGGUGUAGCGGUGAAAUGCGUAGAUAUCUGGAGGAAUACCGGUGGCGAAGGCGGCGUUCUGGACCAUUACUGACACUGAAUCGCGAAAGCUAGGGGAGCAAACGGG
rnacentral:rRNA from 1 species